GAAUAAAAAAUUUGAACAACACUUUUUUGCCAGAGGCACUCUGAAGCACCUCCCAGACUUCAGGAGCCCAAACUGAGAGGAAAGAGGGCCGGGGCAGGUUGGCAC